rnacentral:rRNA from 1 species
UACAGAGGUCCCAAGCGUUGUUCGGAUUUAUUGGGCGUAAAGGGUGCGUAGGCGGCGCUGUAAGUCGGGUGUGAAAUUUCGGAGCUUAACUCCGAAACUGCAUUCGAUACUGCGGUGCUUGAGGACUGGAGAGGAGACUGGAAUUCAUGGUGUAGCAGUGAAAUGCGUAGAGAUCAUGAGGAAGACCAGUGGCGAAGGCGGGUCUCUGGACAGUUCCUGACACUGAGGCACGAAGGCCAGGGGAGCAAACGGG